AGCGAACGCUGGCGGCGUGCUUAACACAUGCAAGUCGAGUGCGCGUUUCGUAGCAAUACGGGAUGGCGCACGGCGCACGGGUGAGGAACACGUGGGCAACAUGCCCUCUGAUGGGGAAUAACCCCGCGAAAGCGGGGCUAAUACCGCAUAAGAUUCCGGGGACCUCGGUCCCUGGACUGAAAGCCCGCAAGGGCGUCGGAGGAGUGGCCCGCGGCCGAUUAGCUUGUUGGCGGGGAACGGCCCACCAAGGCAAUGAUCGGUAGCCGGUCCUGAGAGGAUGAUCGGCCACACUGGAACUGAGACACGGUCCAGACUCCUACGGGAGGCAGCAGUGGGGAAUCUUGCGCAAUGGGCGAAAGCCUGACGCAGCGACGCCGCGUGGGGGA
rnacentral:rRNA from 1 species